rnacentral:rRNA from 1 species
UACGUAGGGGGCUAGCGUUGUCCGGAAUCAUUGGGCGUAAAGCGCGUGUAGGCGGCUCGAUAAGUCCGCUCUGAAAGCCCGGGGCUCAACUCCGGGAGGCGGGUGGAUACUGUCGAGCUCGAGUCCGGAAGAGGCAAGUGGAAUUCCCGGUGUAGCGGUGAAAUGCGCAGAUAUCGGGAGGAACACCAAUGGCGAAGGCAGCUUGCUGGGACGGUACUGACGCUGAGACGCGAAAGCGUGGGGAGCGAACAGG